GUGCCAGCAUCCGCGGUAAUACCGGCAGCCCGAGUGAUGGCCGAUUUUAUUGGGCCUAAAGCGUCCGUAGCUGGCUGCGCAAGUCCAUCGGAAAAUCUACCCGCUCAACGGGUGGGCGUCCGGUGGAAACUGCGUGGCUUGGGACCGGAAGGCGCGACGGGUACGUCCGGGGUAGGAGUGAAAUCCCGUAAUCCUGGACGGACCACCGGUGGCGAAAGCGCCUCAGGAAGACGGAUCCGACAGUGAGGGACGAAAGCUAGGGUCUCGAACCGGAUUAGAUACCCCGGUAGUCC
rnacentral:rRNA from 1 species